AUGGAGGCCAGUGCUGUCCCAGCCUAGGCUGUGGAGGUGGGCUGACCUUCACCUGUCACUGUGUCCAGCCAUUCUGGGGUCUGCGUUGUGAGUGGGUGGCACGCUCUUGCCGAGAGCUGCAGUGCCCAGUGAGUAUUCCACUGAGUGGACCACGCUGCACUUGUCCUCCCAGGCUGUCCGGGCCCUCCUGCCGGAUUUCUAGGGCGUCACCCUCAGGAGCUAUUAACACCAGUUGCGCCUCUGCCCCUUGUCUGCAUGGGGGCUCGUGCCUACCUGUACAGAUUGUCCCUUUCUUCCGCUGUGUAUGCGCUCCGGGCUGGGGAGGACCGUGUUGUGAGACCCCUUCCGCAGCCCCUGAGGUCCCCGCCCGUGAGCAGCAUGCCAGGCCAAGCGAGGAGACCAGAACUGCGUGAGUGCAACAGCUCAGGCUGUGGCCGGGAAAGCAGUGACUGCUCGCUGAACGUGGACGACCCCUGGAGGCAGUGUGAGGCACUGCAGUACUGGCGUCUCAACAACAGCGGGUGCGACCAGACCUGCAGCUCUCCAGCCUGUCUCUAUGACAACUUUGACUGCUACUCUGGUGGCCGCACCUGCAAUCCGGCUUAUGAGAAGUACUGCACCGACCACUUUGCAGAUGGCCAUUGUGACCAGGGUUGUAACACUGAGGAGUGUGGCUGGGAUUGGCUGGACUGUGCCAGCGAGGUCCGGGUCCUUUUGGCUUGAGGGGUUCUGGUCCUCACAGUUCUUCUGCCUUCUGAAGAGUUGCUGUGCUCCAUUGCCGACUUUCUGCAGCAACUUAGUGCUAUUCUGCACAACUCACUGCGCUUCUGCUUGGACGCACGUGUCCAGGCCAUGGUCUUCCCCAGCUAAGCCCUGGCUCUGAAUACAGCUCUGAAUCUAGCUGGGUCUAGAGGUGAUCGGCUCUGUAGUAAUGCUGGAGAUUGACAACUGGCUCUGUCUGCAAUCAGCUGAGAAUGACCACGGCUUCCCUCAUGCCCAGAGUGCUGCUGACUACCUGGGAGCCUUGUCAGCAGUGGAGUGACUUGAUUUCCCAUACUCACUUCGGGAUGUGCGAGGUAGAGGAGCCAGGCAUGGGUGCUGAGAAGCCUGAGGACCCAACACCACUUGGUUGCUGCUGAUAUCCGUGUGGCACCAGCCACGGCGCUGACUCCACCUCAGGGAGAUGCAGAUGCAGGUGGAGUGGAUGUCAACGUCUGAGGGCCUGAUGGUUUCACCUCACUUACGUUGGCCUACUUCUGUGGGGAAGCCCUGGAGCCGAUACCAGCUGAGGAGGAUGACACAUAAGCCAGCAUCAUCUCAGAUUUGAUCUGUCAAGGGGCCCAGUUUGGGGCACGGACUGACCACACUGGCGAGACGAGACGGCACU